AUGACUUCUCUCUGUGCAAAUUAUUCCUUUGGCAAUUACAUUUCAUUACAUUCUAAAAACAAUAGUGUGCCUCCAAUCAAAAGGAAUUUUCAUUCCUCAUAUGGUAUCCGUUGCUCAAAUAUUCAACGAGGCAAAUUAUCUGACCCUAACUACGUUACGAUUUUCGAUACGACGCUUCGUGACGGAGAACAGGCCCCGGGUGCAUCCAUGACUGCUAAACAAAAAAUGGAAAUUGCAUGUCAGCUAGCUAAGCUUGGUGUUGAUGUUAUUGAGGUUGGUUUUCCAGCUGCCUCCCAGGCUGAGUUUGACCUUGUAAAGUUGGUAGCACAGAAAAUUGGUAAUAACAUAGAUGAAGAGGGAUAUGUACCGAUGAUCUGUGGUUUGGCGAGAUCUACUAAGGAAGAUAUCGAUAGAGCUUGGGAGGGUUUGAAGUAUGCAAAGACACCGAUGAUUCAUAUGUUUAUCGCGACAAGUGAUAUGCAUAUGAAGUAUAAAUUGAAUAUGGGUAGAGAAGAAGUUGUGGAGAGAGCAAGGAGCAUGGUGGCUUAUGCAACAAGUCCUGGGUUCGAGCAUGUUAGGUUUAGCUUGGAAGAUGCUACAAGAUCUGAUAAGGACUUUGUUUACCAUAUUAUUGAAGAAGUUAUCAAAGCUGGAGCAACAUGCAUUUGUGUGGCUGAUACUGUUGGAUGCAAUUUACCAAAUGAAUUUGCACAACUAAUUGUUGACAUAAAAGCCAAUACCCUAGGAAUCCAAAAUGUGAUCCUUGCAGUACAUUGUCACAAUGAUCUUGGACUUGCUACUGCCAACACAUUAGCUGGAAUUUGUGCAGGAGUAAGACAAGUAGAUGUAACCAUCAAUGGUAUUGGUGAAAGAGCUGGAAAUGCUUCUCUAGAAGAGAUAGUAAUGACCAUAAAAUAUCGUGGAGAGGAAGUACUAGGUGGUGUCUAUACUGGGAUUAAUACAAAAUAUAUAUUCACAACAAGCAACAUGGUAGAGGAAUAUAGUGGGCUUAAGUUGCAGCCAAAUAAGGCCAUUGUUGGCGCUAAUGCUUUUUCUCAUGAAAGUGGAAUUCAUCAGGAUGGAAUGUUAAAGAACAGAGGAACAUAUGAAUUUAUAUCUGCUGAAGAUGUUGGAUUUAUUCGUGCUACUGAACACGGUAUUAAAUUGGGAAAACUCAGAAUAUAACAGAUGAUGAUUUAAGAGCACUCAUAUUGGACGAAACUAUAUAGCCUCAAAUUGCUUUAAAACUUGGAGAUAUAUACAUGAACUUGUCACCUAUUGAUGGAAGAGCUUAUCUAAUGUUAAAGUAGCUAGCCAAGGGUUUUGUACUACAUUAAUUGAUGUAUUAAAUUUUCUUGAACACUUUUAGGUGAACUCAAUCGUUUAUGUUCUUAGUAUUGAACCCCUUGUACUUUCGAAACCAUGAGUUUAAACUUAUGUUUGUUGUAUUUUUAAUAAGAUAGUAGUCUGGCGCUGAGGCAGGUUAUGGGUUACUUGAGAAUAAAAUUUGAUUAGUGAGACGUAUAUAUGUUAUAAAAAUGAUGGAAGGAAGUUUGUGUCA